rnacentral:rRNA from 1 species
UUGGAGGGCAAGUCUGGUGCCAGCAGCCGCGGUAAUUCCAGCUCCAAUAGCGUAUAUUAAAGUUGUUGCAGUUAAAAAGCUCGUAGUUGAACUUCGGGGUCUACCCAUUGGUCAGGCUUAAUUGUCUGUACUGGUGAGAUGGAUCUCUACCUUCUGAGGAACUUUCAUGCCAUUUAUUUGGUGUGAUGGGAAAUCAGGACUGUUACUUUGAAAAAAUUAGAGUGUUUAAAGCAGACUAUCGUCUGAAUACAUUAGCAUGGAAUAAUGAAAUAGGACGGACUGAUUCUAUUUCGUUGGUUUCUAGGAUCACCGUAAUGAUUAAUAGGGAUAGUUGGGGGCAUUAGUAUUCAAUUGUCAGAGGUGAAAUUCUUGGAUUUAUUGAAGACUAACUACUGCGAAAGCAUUUGCCAAGGAUGUUUUCAUUAAUCAAGAACGAAAGUUAGGGGAUCGAAGACGAUCAGAUACCGUCGUAGUCUUAACCAUAAACUAUGCCGACUAGGGAUCGGACGAAGUUAAUUUUAUAAUGACGCGUUCGGCACCUUACGGGAAAC